GCUUUUAUUUUUAUGGUAAUUUCUUUAUUUACAUUAAGGUUAUGCCAAUCUAUGUUACAUCUGAUAACGUUUUUGAAAGACAUACAUGUACAACUAUAAAUUCAACAUAAGGAGUAUUUGGACGACGACUUCAGUAUAGCACAGAUAAACGCAAGGAUUGUCUGGGUUUCUGACCAGUACACUUCCAGUUGGAUGGGAAACACUAAAAAGCGUUUCUAAAAAUUCCGGAGGCAUCUGUCGGGGAUCGAAACCAGUAACUCUGUCCACUCAAAUGGAUGUGCAGGUGGCAUGGGUAUCAAAAGCAUAAUCACUUGCCGCCAGCAGGCUACAGGGAGACAACUUUUUGAGAAUAUUUCAAGUAUCCGGUCGUACGGGACAGUAUGUUCUGGAACAAGCAGAUUGUUGCCGACGUAAGUGCCUUAUCAUCUUAAAAAGACUAAAGUUCGCAUUUUACCGAGACGACUUUUCAAUAACAUACACAACUCCAACUUAACUACACAGGCUCCACUUCAACCGUUUUGCAGUUAAAUGCAGUGUUUUAACUAGAUUAUGAAGACAGAUGUUUUCAUAUCUGCUAAUCUCGACAAUCAGCUUGACAAAAAUGGCAUCGAUAGUAGGUAGUAUAUGUUAUAAGACGAUAUCAGAUUUGAUUAUAGAAAAGUUUGAUUGACAGGUAUGUUUUGAAUGGAUUAGAAAAGUUCUUCGAGACAGAAUUUAAGGAUUUUUUUGUCUAUAUAUUAUCUUAUUAUCUCUGCUCUUGUCAAACUUGUUUGAUGCACGUACUGUACAUUUUUCUCGAAUUUGAUAAGAGUUAAAAACAAGUUGCUCAUCAUUUUAAAGGGCAGUAUGAUCUUCAAAUGUGCAUUUAAAGCUAGAGAAUUCAUGGUUGUUCACAUGCUAUACUUAAAACAUGUUAAUAGAAACUGCUCUGAUUCUUUUCUCGCGGAUGAAUAUAUCGAAAAAGGGAUACUUGUAGAAUAUCUAAAGCAGUUCAUGAAAACUUCGGCCGACAUUUCUACAAUUGCCAAAAUUAAAAAUAAUGAUAUGA
rnacentral:lncRNA from 1 species